AUAAUUUAAUACCCCCAUUCAAUAACCUACACAUACACGCCACUGCAAACAACAUAACCACACUUUAACACUUUAUAACCACACUUUACACAACGUUGCUACUAGUUUAUCUUCUAUGUAAGUUGGAUAAUUUAAUUAUUUAUUUAUAUAAUAUUGGUUGUUUGUGAUGUUUCAAUUCUACUAAUGUUUUUAUCAUUCAAUAGAGUCAUUCCAUUUCCACUUUCGUCAGUAACACGCAACGCACUUCAUGACAUGUAUAAAUACGCUGCCUUUUAAACCUUGACGCUAGGCCUGAUGAUGGCAAUGUUUGCCGAAAUCGAUAGCCAUAGAGAAAAAAUUAUAAUAUAAACGUUACUAAACUUCAUUAUAUUUUACUCUAUUCAUAACGUUUAUCAAAAAUGGAGACGUACAUCAAAAAUAUCAACAAACUGGAGACAUCCGGAUUACUCCUGCAGCUAAAAUAUAUUCUACAAAAACGACACAAAAACACCCAACAUCUACAGUUUCUGUAUAACGCCAAAAAACAUGAAGUCACCCCCAAUUUCUUAAGAAUCAACCUGCCGAAACGAUACACCCUACAAGAAACAAAAGGCAUCCAUAAGAAACUUCUACAACAUGAAAUAAAAAAACAACACUAUAACAAAACCAUGAUCAACUCCAAAUUAAAAUACCUACACCGAACGUUACUACAAAAACUACACUACAUUGAAUAUGAGACAGUAUAUCUACAGUUAGAAGAAGAAAUUACAAACAGCAACUACGAAUUAGACCAAAAGAGACUAAAGAAAUUAAACAAACUCAUCGAAAUAAAAAACCAAACUCAGCAACAACCAUACAACUCCAAGACGACACACCAAGAAAGAAAAAUACUCCCACUUAGUAAACGAUCAAAGAAGGACAUUACAACACCAACAGAUCAACACACAGGUUUACAAGACACGACAUACAGGAUUCAAGAACCACAAGCCACCGCAGUCAACACAAAGAAAUCAACUAUACACCACCCUCAUCACACUGCUUCUUACACAAAAACCACAAGCCAUCACUCUCAAGAAAAUGAAAACAACUAUACUUCAACCACAACACACAGCUUCCCACCAAGAUUCACGAAUUUAUCAACGUUAAAACUUAAUAACGAAGAAACACAGCUACUUAAUUUAGGACAUAAAUACGCACCUCAGUCUAGUACAUACUCACCUUAUCUCACGGCCAUCGAUAUAGAAUAUCAACUAUAUAAUAAUCCAUCAAUGCAUUAUAUCAAAAAAGAAAUAGGAGAAAUCAUCAACCGCAAUCAGGUUAGUAAAAAUGAAAAAUCACACAACCAUACAAAUUAUAGAUCCAAAAAGAUACAACAGACCCUAAAGAAAUUAAAAAAUAAAAUUAAUACCCAGAACAUAAUAGUCACCGCUGCAGAUAAAAAUGCUGGGCUAGUACUGAUAAACAAAAACGACUACAUUAACAAAACGACACAAUUUUUUACAGAAAAUAACAUCACUAUCUUAAAAAGAAACCCCUUCAACAAAUACAACACCACAACAAACAAGAUUCUCAACAAUACAAUAGACACCCUACAAAAAUUCACUAACACCACUUUUCUAAUCCACAAAUUAAAAAAUAAAAAUCCCAAAACACCACAACUCUAUAGCCUUAUAAAAUUACACAAACCCACCAAACCAAUUCGGCCUAUUACAGCGUCGACAAACUCACCAACACACUACAUAGCCAAAUUCUUAAACAACAUAAUUACCCAGAAACUCAAAUACAAAUCCCCGUUUUCAAUUAAAAACUCCCUAGAACUCAUCAACAAUAUAAACAAACUUGACCUACAUCACACACAGUUCACUUUAGUUUCCUUCGACAUAGUCAACCUCUAUACUAACAUACCUAAAACAGAAACACUACACCUACUGAGUGACAUAUUAUACAACAACGACGACUUCAGACAUAAUUACAAACUCGACCCAUUAGACAUAGACAACCUACUGACACUAUUCAAACAUACAACAAAUCUAGACUUUUUUAUAUUUAACAACGAAUAUUACAAAAUGACAGACGGGCUCCCUAUGGGUUCCCCCAUUAGCGGAUUAUUAGCCAAUAUAUACAUCGACAAUCUAGAGAAGAAAAUCAGCGAACUUUUAGAAUUCAAUCACGUCGCCCUAUGGAACCGCUAUGUAGACGACAUUCUUUGUAUCUGGACCGGAGAUCCACAAAAUCUAGUCAAUUUUUACAAUAACAUCAAUAGUCUAUCAAAAAUAAAAUUUACUAUAGAAACAGAAGACAACAAUCAAAUUAACUUCCUAGACCUCACAAUACAUAACAACACAGACAAUAUUACUUUCAACAUUUUCCGCAAACCCACCACCACAGACAUAAUAAUACCGGCACACUCAUAUCAUUCACAUAACAUAAAAACUGCAGCCUUUAAUUUUCUGUUUAAUAGACUGCUUACUAUACCACUCAACAAAGAACAAUACGAUGCAGAACUAAAUACAAUCUUUCAAAUAGGCAUUAAUAACCAAUACUCUUCACAAUACAUACCUACACAAUAUAUAUCAUAAAAAUAAACAAAAACACAUCACCAAUACAAUAUACCCACAUUACAAAACCAACAAUAAAUAUAUAUCAAUAGAAUACCAUCAACACAUACAUUACAAACUAAAAAACGCAUUAAAGUCACACAAUUUAAACCUCACAACAAGAUCGCACCCUACGUUACAAAAAAAAAAUACUCAAAAACACAAUGACACAAGAACCACACCAUCAACAAUCAGGCAUAUAUCAAAUAAAUUGUUCACAAUGCAACCGCAUAUACAUUGGCAUGACCACGCGUAAUAUACAAAUCAGAUUCAAUGAACACAAGAAAAAUAAACCUCACUCCGCUAUAGGCACACACAUACAAAAUACAAAUCACGACAUCAACAUUAACAACACUAAAUUAUUACACAAAUGCAACAAUUACCAUAAACUCACCAUACUAGAACACUUCGAAAUACAAAAAGCACUCAGAAACACCCACACAAUCACCACCAACGAAAUCACAGAAUUCAACACAUCACACAUAUAUAAUUUAAUACCCCCAUUCAAUAACCUACACAUACACGCCACUGCAAACAACAUAACCACACUUUAACACUUUAUAACCACACUUUACACAACGUUGCUACUAGUUUAUCUUCUAUGUAAGUUGGAUAAUUUAAUUAUUUAUUUAUAUAAUAUUGGUUGUUUGUGAUGUUUCAAUUCUACUAAUGUUUUUAUCAUUCAAUAGAGUCAUUCCAUUUCCACUUUCGUCAGUAACACGCAACGCACUUCAUGACAUGUAUAAAUACGCUGCCCUUUAAAACCUUGACGAAAUUCAGCAUCCCUCACCGCCAAUUAGUUAGCACCUGAUGUAAUUCUGGAUACGAAAUAGAAAAUUUGAUUGACGGAGUCAUUGUUAUCGUAAAGAGAGUUGUCUCCAGCAUAAUAUUUUGUAUGAACAACGUCCCCCGCAAAAGAAACGUCUUGUAUGAGGUACCGCUAUUUUAUUUAUGUAAAAUUAAAGGUCUAAAUCUUUAAGAAAAGCAUCGUGCAUUGAUUGAUGUAUAAAAAAACCUUUGGACGCCCUUAAAAAGAUGAACCCAAGCCUUUUUUAUAUUUUCCUUUUAGAAAACUUGGGUCACCCUGUAUGUGUGAAUUUUAAUUUUCUUUGAGCGUUAAAUUUGGUUGUUGCUUGAGAUUAAACGCAAUUUCGAUCAUAUUAGUUCAAUGUUUUGCAUUAGAAUAUUGGAUGUUUAAUAUUUGUUUAAAUAAUCGCCUUUUAAUUUUUCUUGCUCAGUUAAGGAACAUUAGAAUUAAUUAGGCGAGUGUCUAAUUAAAGUUAUCUCUUGUAAAUCUGGUCGUUGCGAUAAGAAGUUUCGUUAUCGCUGCGUAAGCUAAUUAAGUUUAGAUAAGCGGGUGUUUUUUGGCCAACGUAAACACAGAUGGCAACGCAUGUUGUAUUUCCCAUUCAUCCUCUCUCGUAUUUUUCUAUUUACUAUUUCCUCUCCUCUCCAUUUGUUCGAAAUUUGAGUCUUUAUUGUACUUUUAAUCCAACUUACAUAAACUUGAUUUGAAAUGUCAGGUGUUAGCACACCUUACGUGUGUAAACCACUAAUAAGCGCCGCCCGCACACCGUCCUUUAUCUCAAAAACCGUUGAGUAUAUAGAAAAAUGUUUGGGGUUAAAGGUGUAGAUAAUUUUAUUCCCUACACUUUUUAUAAUAAGUACAAAUGGCAUUAAAACCAUAGGAAACGAGAUAUUUGCAAAAAAAAAAAAAACGAUUUUUGAGACCUUGACCUUGAAUAUCUUAGACGCGGACACGAGAUUUUAUGUGACUUUUGAGACAACUUCCAGAAUGACAAAAUAAAGGUUUACAGAAAUUUACAGCUUAUUAUCUCUCAUUCCGAGGUUGGCCUUAUUUUUUGCCUUAAAUGACUGGACUACAAAUAGAAGCCAGAUUAGGAAGAUCAGGGCCAACUAUAACCUGCACAACAUUGGGCUUGGAGGAUGGCCCACGUGCAUGGUUCUGUGGCAACGGGAGAUGAAAGUUUCUGUCAAACACGCAUUAGAGUACCUAAUAAACAAUUAUAUCGAGUAAUUGCACAAAAAGGCAGUUCAAUCAGGGCCGUAUUACCAAUUAGGCACACUAUAGGCAGGUGUCUAGGGCCCGGGAAGGAUGGGGGCCCGGAAAAAUUAAGGACACGUAACGUAACGUGUGGGAUUUUAAAGUACACAACACAACAAUUUUACACUAUAAUAGGUAGGGGUAGGUACAGGUACUUUUUGCUUUAUUUCUUUACAUUAAAAAUUUGCACUAUAUUUAUAUACCUACUAUUUUAAAUAAUGACUAGAGUGCGAAUAAAAAUGCAUUUAUUUUUAUAAAAUAAGCGCUUAUUAUUAUAUGCGUCAAAACGGGCAAAAAAAGGCAAUGUAAGCAAACAAAUGCACAAUCAACCAUCCACAGAAAAAAACCUUUAUUCCUCAAUGAUUAUGAUGAAACUAACUCUAAUUAGGUAUCGGAAAAACAAUUAACAAUUAUGUAUUUCUCCAAAUUUGCAAUUAAAAAAUGUUGCCUUCGGUCCGAUAAAAUAUUUUUAUAGACGAAUAGACAUAGAUGUCUUUCACUUUUGGCAUAUUUUUGACCCGGUUAAUUGAAUUAAUAUUUAGAAGGAGCUACGAACGGUUUAACGUAUAUGCGAAAAAGUAGGUACCUACACAACUGUGCUGGAACACGAGUUAUUAUAAUUUAUGAAAAGGGGCCCGAAAAUUUCAUUGUGCCUAGGGCCCGGACAAACCUUAAAGGCUGAUUCUCACUAUACAUAACGUUUCCGUACCAUAUCCUUUCCAUAACCAUUCUAUUCCGUAAAUUAUU